rnacentral:rRNA from 1 species
GCUUAACACAUGCAAGUCGAGGGGCAGCAUGGUCUUAGCUUGCUAAGGCCGAUGGCGACCGGCGCACGGGUGAGUAACACGUAUCCAACCUGCCGUCUACUCUUGGACAGCCUUCUGAAAGGAAGAUUAAUACAAGAUGGCAUCAUGAGUCCGCAUGUUCACAUGAUUAAAGGUAUUCCGGUAGACGAUGGGGAUGCGUUCCAUUAGAUAGUAGGCGGGGUAACGGCCCACCUAGUCUUCGAUGGAUAGGGGUUCUGAGAGGAAGGUCCCCCACAUUGGAACUGAGACACGGUCCAAACUCCUACGGGAGGCAGCAGUGAGGAAUAUUGGUCAAUGGGCGAGAGCCUGAACCAGCCAAGUAGCGUGAAGGAUGACUGCCCUAUGGGUUGUAAACUUCUUUUAUAAAGGAAUAAAGUCGGGUAUGGAUACCCGUUUGCAUGUACUUUAUGAAUAAGGAUCGGCUAACUCCGUGCCAGCAGCCGCGGUAAUACGGAGGAUCCGAGCGUUAUCCGGAUUUAUUGGGUUUAAAGGGAGCGUAGAUGGAUGUUUAAGUCAGUUGUGAAAGUUUGCGGCUCAACCGUAAAAUUGCAGUUGAUACUGGAUAUCUUGAGUGCAGUUGAGGCAGGCGGAAUUCGUGGUGUAGCGGUGAAAUGCUUAGAUAUCACGAAGAACUCCGAUUGCGAAGGCAGCCUGCUAAGCUGCAACUGACAUUGAGGCUCGAAAGUGUGGGUAUCAAACAGGAUUAGAUACCCUGGUAGUCCACACGGUAAACGAUGAAUACUCGCUGUUUGCGAUAUACGGCAAGCGGCCAAGCGAAAGCGUUAAGUAUUCCACCUGGGGAGUACGCCGGCAACGGUGAAACUCAAAGGAAUUGACGGGGGCCCGCACAAGCGGAGGAACAUGUGGUUUAAUUCGAUGAUACGCGAGGAACCUUACCCGGGCUUAAAUUGCAGAUGAAUUACGGUGAAAGCCGUAAGCCGCAAGGCAUCUGUGAAGGUGCUGCAUGGUUGUCGUCAGCUCGUGCCGUGAGGUGUCGGCUUAAGUGCCAUAACGAGCGCAACCCUUGUUGUCAGUUACUAACAGGUUCUGCUGAGGACUCUGACAAGACUGCCAUCGUAAGAUGUGAGGAAGGUGGGGAUGACGUCAAAUCAGCACGGCCCUUACGUCCGGGGCUACACACGUGUUACAAUGGGGGGUACAGAGGGCCGCUACCACGCGAGUGGAUGCCAAUCCCAAAAACCUCUCUCAGUUCGGACUGGAGUCUGCAACCCGACUCCACGAAGCUGGAUUCGCUAGUAAUCGCGCAUCAGCCACGGCGCGGUGAAUACGUUCCCGGGCCUUGUACACACCGCCCGUCAAGCCAUGGGAGCCGGGGGUACCUGAAGUGCGUAACCGCGAGGAGCGCCCUAGGGUAAAACUGGUGACUGGGGCUAAG